UACGUAGGGUGCGAGCGUUGUCCGGAAUUAUUGGGCGUAAAGGGCUCGUAGGCGGUUUGUCGCGUCGGGAGUGAAAACCUUGGGCUUAACUCAGGGCUUGCUUUCGAUACGGGCAGGCUAGAGUUCGGUAGGGGAGACUGGAAUUCCUGGUGUAGCGGUGAAAUGCGCAGAUAUCAGGAGGAACACCGGUGGCGAAGGCGGGUCUCUGGGCCUGUACUGACGCUCAUGCACGAAAGCGUGGGGAGCAAACAGG
rnacentral:rRNA from 1 species